rnacentral:tmRNA from 1 species
GGGAGCGUACUUUGGCUUUGAUAUGUCGAUAAUGGUUGUAUGUGCUGUAUCGAGACUUCUCUAUAACUCGUAAACUUUAGAGAACCCAUGUUGCAAAAACAACUGGAAAAGCUAUUCCUUCGCCUUAUGCGUUUGGUCUAGUUCCAGCAUUCGUCUAAUUUAGACCGAUCUGGUGUCCUUCCCUUUCGUAUCUGCGGAAAGAGUCUGGGCAAUAUAACAGCGGAAGUAGAUUAUUUUGUAGCAUAGCAAUCUAAUCGAAAUAAUUAUGCUAUACAUUUAUUGUUUUCGUUUGUUUUAGAUAAUAAAUGUGAAUAUAGAAUCUGCAAAUUUGUAUGAGCUUCGAAGAAAAACAAAUGUUUUAAAGAGCCGUACAUUAGUACGGUGAUGAAAAAACAUGAAGCUUUGACAAUGAAGGUCGCCAAAUUUGCAGAUUCUAUAAUAAGCAAACUACAUACAGUAGAUUCGUUCACCGUUCCGGUAUACACGAGGGUUCGAACCCCUCCGCUUCCACAA